AGGAACUUAGGAUAGACCAAGACCGAAAGCCUUCAAAGCUUUAAGCAGGAGUGCAAACCUUCUAGUUCUUG
ensembl:Mt_tRNA